rnacentral:rRNA from 1 species
UACGGGGGGUGCAAGCGUUGUUCGGAAUUAUUGGGCGUAAAGCGCGUGUAGGCGGUCUGAUUAGUCUGAUGUGAAAGCCCUGGGCUCAACCCAGGAAGUGCAUUGGAUACUGUCAGACUUGAAUACGGGAGAGGGUAGUGGAAUUCCUAGUGUAGCGGUGAAAUGCGCAGAUAUCAGGAGGAACACCGAUUGCGAAGGCAGCUCGCUGGGACGUUACUGACGCUGAGACGCGAAAGCGUGGGGAGCAAACAGG